AUUACAAAACAAAAAAACAUGGCUGUAACUAGUCUAUCGUCAUACUUAUGUAACCAUUUUUCACUCCCUGCUCAUCCCUCCAGGUCCAUCCUUUUCACUCUGCCUACUCAUCCAUCUGCUCCAGUGCCUUCGUCUGCAAUCAGGUAACUCUCCCCUACAAAAGAAUCAUAAUUUUGAAAUUAAAAACCCUAGGCUUACAGAGGAAGACGAUGUAGAACUUUUGUAUUUCUCCGAGACCAACGAUUCAUGACACAAUUUCACUUGCUAAGAAUAUGAAGAUGGAGAUGAUGAAUUAUGUAGAUCUGACAGCGAUGAAUUCUAUAUAGAGAACGACACUGCAUUACCAGCCGCUCUUUUGAGGUACACCGUUAUUGUACAGGAUUUGCAAAUGUUUCAAGAUGAUGGAUGGUGCUGAAAUUGUUUGCAGUGAGGUGGUUUAUAAGGUGGAGGAGGAGAACUGUGGUUCUAGUAUGAAUGCAGUUGGUGGUGUUGCUACUGUUGUUUAUAAUGUCAUUAGUAAUAGUAAUUGUAAUGGCAAUGACGGUUUCGCCUGUGUAUGUGAACGUGAGUGUCGAGGUGAGUGCUGGUGAGUUUGGUGAUGUAGGUGGUGUUAAUUUUGAUGGUGAAUUAGAGCAGUUUAAUGGUCAUCUUGACGAGGUCUCGGGGGAACAGAAGACAGAUGUUAAGAGCACCGAAGAAGUGGAUGAUACUGGUUCAGGGCUUACCGAGUCAACUCUGAACAUUGUAUAAAGCUCUCGUGUGACUAGUUCUGAGUUUGAGUAUGCUAUUAAGCCAUCUGAUGUGACAGUUACUACAAAACCCUAUAUGAUUCUUGAUGCAACUGCUUCAGAGAAUCUUGAAGUUUUUUAGAACAGUGUAAAUCGGGACUCUAAAGGGUACGAGUUAAAUUAUAUUGUUCACACAGAGGUAGGAAUUUCGACUCAUUUACUUGUAAAUGAGUUGAUUUGGUGAAUGGGUGAAACCGGUUGGAAGUCGCCCAGAAUCUAUUACUAAACAACCUCAUAAAUCGUUCUAAUUAAAAUUGUUGCUACGUCCAUACUGCAUAGUUAAAAAGAUGGACAAAAAGUGUGUGGAUCAAACCAACCCGUUUCAACAGUAACCUGUUUUGAUCCAUUACACGACCCAUCCCUCUUGCCAUCUUUAUAUUCACAUUUACCAAAUGUAUAAUCCUUCUAAUAUGCUGUAUAAAUCUAUACAGGACAUUGUAUGACCAACUAAACCGUUGUGUGACACCAUUUGGGAAGAGAUUGCUUAAAGCAUGGCUUGCUAGACCUUUAUAUGUCAUAAUCUCGAUCACAGGACGCCAAGAAGCCGUAGCUGGUGUAAAGGUUAGCUUGAUGUUGCUGUUGUUAAACUGAUGCGGGUCAUGGAUGUGCUAAAUCAGCAGCUGCAGCUGCUGUCUUUUGCUAACAAACGAUGAGGGAGUAGCAGUAGACCACAUUAAAUAUAUACAGAGCAGCAAUUGAAAUACAUGGUUAUGGACUUCCAUCAAGAUGUUUUUUCAAUACUUUAUAUUGCAAAAUAUAGAUCAUGUCUUAGUGGAAUCAGAAAAGUAAAUACAAUUAUUAUUGCAUUUUAUAACUAUUUCUCUGCAACUAGACUUCGGUUCACAUGUUU